CACACAGAGCACCAGAGACCCUGUACCUCUCUUCAUGGUGUGUGACCAGUGUGAAGAGAGGCUCGCUCAGAGGAGAUGGGGAAGUGUGCUGCUGUCUCCUCAUGAUACAGACAAACCAGUUCUGUGGGCCUGGGCUCUAAACACCUGCAAGAGAUUUUGGAUACAAAGGAAAUUUUAUGACACAGCACUCAUAGUGAGAUGGGAAAUACCCCAUCCCAUAAUUGUACCUUUCCCAUGGCCAUUCUGGAUGGCUGCAGCUGUGAGUUUCUUCCUCCUUCAGACUGAAGAAGGACAAUAAAG